UAAAUAAAAGUAGUGUGAGUGCGGAAAAGUAAACAAAAGUAGUGCGAGUGCGAGAAAGUAAACAAAGUAAAGGCAGUGCGAGAAAUAAAUAAAGUAAAGUACGAGUGCGAGAAAUAAAUAAAGUAAAGUGUGAGUGCGAGAAAUAAAUAAAGUAUACAAAGGUAAAGCAAUAAAACCUGCUGCAAUCGGAGGGUCGAAUAAAG
rnacentral:lncRNA from 1 species